GAUGAACGCUGGCGGCGUGCCUAAUACAUGCAAGUCGAGCGAACGGACGAGAAGCUUGCUUCUCUGAUGUUAGCGGCGGACGGGUGAGUAACACGUGGAUAACCUACCUAUAAGACUGGGAUAACUUCGGGAAACCGGAGCUAAUACCGGAUGAUAUUUUGAACCGCAUGGUUCAAAAGUGAAAGACGGCCUUGCUGUCACUUAUAGAUGGAUCCGCGCUGCAUUAGCUAGUUGGUAAGGUAACGGCUUACCAAGGCAACGAUGCGUAGCCGACCUGAGAGGGUGAUCGGCCACACUGGAACUGAGACACGGUCCAGACUCCUACGGGAGGCAGCAGUAGGGAAUCUUCCGCAAUGGGCGAAAGCCUGACGGAGCAACGCCGCGUGAGUGAUGAAGGUCUUCGGAUCGUAAAACUCUGUUAUUAGGGAAGAACAUAUGUGUAAGUAACUGUGCACAUCUUGACGGUACCUAAUCAGAAAGCCACGGCUAACUACGUGCCAGCAGCCGCGGUAAUACGUAGGUGGCAAGCGUUAUCCGGAAUUAUUGGGCGUAAAGCGCGCGUAGGCGGUUUUUUAAGUCUGAUGUGAAAGCCCACGGCUCAACCGUGGAGGGUCAUUGGAAACUGGAAAACUUGAGUGCAGAAGAGGAAAGUGGAAUUCCAUGUGUAGCGGUGAAAUGCGCAGAGAUAUGGAGGAACACCAGUGGCGAAGGCGACUUUCUGGUCUGUAACUGACGCUGAUGUGCGAAAGCGUGGGGAUCAAACAGGAUUAGAUACCCUGGUAGCCCACGCCGUAAACGAUGAGUGCUAAGUGUUAGGGGGUUUCCGCCCCUUAGUGCUGCAGCUAACGCAUUAAGCACUCCGCCUGGGGAGUACGACCGCAAGGUUGAAACUCAAAGGAAUUGACGGGGACCCGCACAAGCGGUGGAGCAUGUGGUUUAAUUCGAAGCAACACGAAGAACCUUACCAAAUCUUGACAUCCUUUGACAACUCUAGAGAUAGAGCCUUCCCCUUCGGGGGACAAAGUGACAGGUGGUGCAUGGUUGUCGUCAGCUCGUGUCGUGAGAUGUUGGGUUAAGUCCCGCAACGAGCGCAACCCUUAAGCUUAGUUGCCAUCAUUAAGUUGGGCACUCUAAGUUGACUGCCGGUGACAAACCGGAGGAAGGUGGGGAUGACGUCAAAUCAUCAUGCCCCUUAUGAUUUGGGCUACACACGUGCUACAAUGGAUAAUACAAAGGGCAGCGAAACCGCGAGGUCAAGCAAAUCCCAUAAAGUUGUUCUCAGUUCGGAUUGUAGUCUGCAACUCGACUACAUGAAGCUGGAAUCGCUAGUAAUCGUAGAUCAGCAUGCUACGGUGAAUACGUUCCCGGGUCU
rnacentral:rRNA from 1 species